GUGGGGAAUAUUGGACAAUGGGCGAAAGCCUGAUCCAGCCAUGCCGCGUGUGUGAAGAAGGUCUUCGGAUUGUAAAGCACUUUAAGUUGGGAGGAAGGGCAGUAAGUUAAUACCUUGCUGUUUUGACGUUACAGAAAGAAUAAGCACCGGCUAACUUCGUGCCAGCAGCCGCGGUAAUACGAAGGGUGCAAGCGUUAAUCGGAAUUACUGGGCGUAAAGCGCGCGUAGGUGGUUUUGUAAGUUGGAGGUGAAAUCCCCGGGCGCAACCUGGGAAGUGCAUCCAAAACUGCAUGACUAGAGUACGGGAGAGGGUAGUGGAAUUUCCUGUGGAGCGGUGAAAUGCGUAGAUAAAGGAAGGAACACCAGUGGCGAGUGCGACUACCUGGACUGAUACUGACACUGAGGUGCGAAAGCGUGGUGAGCAAACAGGAUUAGAUACCCCAGUAGUCC
rnacentral:rRNA from 1 species